AAAAAAGGGGGGGGGCGCUUUUCUUCCCAGUUCUUCCUGGAGUUGGGAAAAGCUGGGUUGAGAGGGCAAAAAAAAAAUGUUU
rnacentral:pre_miRNA from 13 species